CUUGUUGGUGGGGUAACGGCCCACCAAGGCGACGACGGGUAGCUGGUCUGAGAGGACGGCCAGCCACACUGGGACUGAGACACGGCCCAGACUCCUACGGGAGGCAGCAGUGGGGGAUCUUGCGCUAAUGCGCGAAAGCGUGACGCAGCGACGCCGCGUGGGGGAUGAAGGCCCUCGGGUUGUAAACCCCUUUCGGCAGGGACGAAGGGAGACUGACGGUACCUGCAGAAGAAGUCCCGGCUAACUACGUGCCAGCAGCCGCGGUAACACGUAGGGGACGAGCGUUGUCCGGAUUCAUUGGGCGUAAAGCGCGCGUAGGCGGCUCGGAGAGUCGGGCGUGAAAUGCCGGGGCUCAACUCCGGGACUGCGUCCGAUACUUCCGAGCUGGAGGUAGGUAGGGGAGAUCGGAAUUCCUGGUGUAGCGGUGAAAUGCGCAGAUACCAGGAGGAACACCGGUGGCGAAGGCGGAUCUCUGGGCCUUACCUGACGCUGAGGCGCGAAAGCUAGGGGAGCGAACAGGAUUAGAUACCCUGGUAGUCCUAGCCGUAAACGUUGGGUGCUAGGUGUGGGCGGACAUCGACCCCGUCCGUGCCGAAGCUAACGCAUUAAGCACCCCGCCUGGGGAGUACGGCCGCAAGGCUAAAACUCAAAGGAAUUGACG
rnacentral:rRNA from 1 species